AUGAGAUUGUGGGGUCUUCUCCUUUGCCUGGUGACAGCUUCCCAAGGUGUCCUGUCCGAGAUGCAGCUGCAGGAGUCAGGCCCAGGACUGGUGAAGCCCUCACAGACCCUCUCCCUCACCUGCACUGUCUCUGGAGACUCCAUCACAACCAGUGGUUAUAGUUGGCACUGGAUCCGCCAGCUCUCAGAGAAGGGGCUGGAGUGGAUAGCAGCAAUCAGUAGUAGUGGCGAUACAGCUUAUAACCCGUCCCUCAAGAGCCGCACCUCCAUCACUAGAGACACGUCCAAGAACCAGUUCUCCCUGCAGCUGAGCUCUGUGACCACCGAGGACACAGGCUUGUAUUACUGUGCAAGAGACACAGUGACAAGAAGUCAGCUGUCCUGGAUGGAGAAGCAGAUGCCUGAGGGCCACACACAGCUCAUAUAUUUCCAUUUGGAGGAUUCUGGGUGA